AUUGAACGCUGGCGGCAUGCCUUACACAUGCAAGUCGAACGGCAGCACGGGAGCAAUCCUGGUGGCGAGUGGCGAACGGGUGAGUAAUAUAUCGGAACGUGCCCAGUCGUGGGGGAUAACGCAGCGAAAGCUGUGCUAAUACCGCAUACGAUCUAAGGAUGAAAGCGGGGGAGUCGCAAGACCUCGCGCGAUUGGAGCGGCCGAUAUCAGAUUAGGUAGUUGGUGGGGUAAAAGCCCACCAAGCCGACGAUCUGUAGCUGGUCUGAGAGGACGACCAGCCACACUGGAACUGAGACACGGUCCAGACUCCUACGGGAGGCAGCAGUGGGGAAUUUUAGGUACAAUGGGCGGCAAGCCUGAUCCAGCAAUGCCGCGUGCAGGAUGAAGGCC
rnacentral:rRNA from 1 species